rnacentral:rRNA from 1 species
CCUACGGGAGGCAGCAGUGGGGAAUAUUGGACAAUGGGCGAAAGCCUGAUCCAGCCAUGCCGCGUGUGUGAAGAAGGCCUUCGGGUUGUAAAGCACUUUCAGUGGGGAAGAAAGCCUUGGGGCUAAUACCCUCGAGGAAGGACAUCACCCACAGAAGAAGCACCGGCUAACUCCGUGCCAGCAGCCGCGGUAAUACGGAGGGUGCGAGCGUUAAUCGGAAUUACUGGGCGUAAAGCGCGCGUAGGCGGUCUGAUAAGCCGGUUGUGAAAGCCCCGGGCUCAACCUGGGAACGGCAUCCGGAACUGUCAGGCUAGAGUGCAGGAGAGGAAGGUAGAAUUCCCGGUGUAGCGGUGAAAUGCGUAGAGAUCGGGAGGAAUACCAGUGGCGAAGGCGGCCUUCUGGACUGACACUGACGCUGAGGUGCGAAAGCGUGGGUAGCAAACAGGAUUAGCUACCCUGGUAGUC